rnacentral:rRNA from 1 species
GAUGAACGCUGGCGGCGUGCCUGAUACAUGCAAGUCGAGCGAACGGACGAGAAGCUUGCUUCUCUGAUGUUAGCGGCGGACGGGUGAGUAACACGUGGAUAACCUACCUAUAAGACUGGGAUAACUUCGGGAAACCGGAGCUAAUACCGGAUGAUAUUUUGAACCGCAUGGAUCAAAAGUGAAAGACGGUCUUGCUGUCACUUAUAGAUGGAUCCGCGCUGCAUUAGCUAGUUGGUAAGGUAACGGCUUACCAAGGCAACGAUGCAUAGCCGACCUGAGAGGGUGAUCGGCCACACUGGAACUGAGACACGGUCCAGACUCCUACGGGAGGCAGCAGUAGGGAAUCUUCCGCAAUGGGCGAAAGCCUGACGGAGCAACGCCGCGUGAGUGAUGAAGGUCUUCGGAUCGUAAAACUCUGUUAUUAGGGAAGAACAUAUGUGUAAGUAACUGUGCACAUCUUGACGGUACCUAAUCAGAAAGCCACGGCUAACUACGUG